GCAGAAGAGGACAGUCCGCAAGGGGCGGAAGACAAGACAAAAAUGACUCCAGUUCGCUAGACGCGCAGAGGGGCGGAUAGCGCGCGGACCCCGCCUUCCCCAACCGAGUGUGGGUUCCAGUCGCUGGGGAGGACCUGGUGGCCCCCUGACCUUGGACGAGCCAUAUUGGACGCCCCGGCGCCGUCCCGUCUUCCACGCUGCCAACUCCACCGCUCCCGCCCCGAACUGCGGGUAGGUCCAGGCCGCCAGGCCCCGCCUCGCCGGCCCCAGCCCUGAUUGACACUGGAGUUGGUACAUACGGGUCUGCAGCGGAGGCGAGCAGGAGGGUGAGCGCUAUUUUAAACAUGGCUUUCUCUUUCCCUUAGCCUAGGAGCCACCGCAGCGCACCCAGCCCGCGAGUACAGCCGCAUGGGAAUAAUCCCAACAUUUGCCUGAUUUAUUUUCUUCCCUCUCCUUACGCUUGUACUUGUUUUUCUCCUCUCGCUGUUUUCCCUUCACACUAAUUCGCAACCUGGCAGUUUGCAAAGAGGAAACUCCCUUUCGGAAUGGAAAGCCGCUUUUGCUUCUUGUUGUUGGGGGUGGAAAACAUUCCAGCGAGAAUGAGUUCAAAAAGAAGGGAAACCGCGUCACUGGAGAGAAAGUAACAUUAAGAGAUCGAUGAGGACGGAGUGGGUAGGGGGGACAGAGAGAGGAACGUCUGCAACAGGCAUCUAAAAACAAGCGUGGAGGAGCAAAGAUUCCCAAUCCCCGGGUUACUACCGCGCGCGUUCUGCGCGAGCCAUUGCAAUGCCAGCAUUUACUGUAAGCAGAAUUUGAAGGCUUUUGAAAUCUUUUUUUGGUAAGACUUACCUUUCUCUUCGGCAUAAUGACUAUGUCGGUGAAGCAAAAAGUAAAGCAACGGACUGGAACUGCUGGCGCCGCCGCUGGAUGCUGCCUCUGCCUCUGCAGCUGCUCACGCGCAGGGCACGACGUAGCCCGGCCUCUUCGACCUGCACCUCCGCGGCUCCCUCUGGGGGCCCUCUGCUCGCCUCCCUGCUGCUCCAAUGAGGAGCCCCGCCAGCCGGCCGCGAGGCCCCAUUGGCUGAGGCAACGUUCUAAAUUCCACGAGGGCACGCCCACCUCCGCGCGCGGUACGCGCUGUUGUAGUUUCCACUUCACCGAAAAAAAUCUGCCUGGCGACUGAGCAUGCCCAGUUCAACUAGUAGCCUCCAGGCCACACAAUCCUGAAGUUUCAUUGUUUCGCUGCUCUCUCUUUGAGAUUGUAAGAAUAAGAACAGUGUGUGUCUUCAUAGGAAGGAAAAAGAGUAAGAAUGAAUACGUAAACUUUAUAAUGUAAAUAUAUACACAGCAGGUACCUUAUUCAUUUCCUACCCAUAAAGGCUUUUAAUGAAUGUUACAUGGUGGGAAUCUGUAAAGCGUGGGAAGGUACUCUGUACUGGAAGAGCGUGGCAACUUCUAAAGGCCUCAGUUUCCCCCCCUAGAUAUAUAGUGACAACAGUCCCUAAAAUCACUUAGCUCUAAUUUUCUGAAAUCUGUGAUUAUAAAUCACUCACUAAUUCAGCUAACUUCAAACUAGAUGUGAAGACGAAUAGGACAUGUUUGUUACGGAAAUUAGGAAAAGAAAGAACAAGGCAAAAACUGAUUAUUUUAUAUUUGAGACAUAUAUUUGAAUGACACCCGUCAUGUUACACUUUAUGCGUAAUAUUUCUCAAAGUUCUGCAAGGCAUAAAAUGAGCAUUGCAAAAAUAUUUCUGAAUUCAUUUUAUGAGACCAGAUUUACUCUGAUACCAAAACCAGUGAAAGACUUCAAAAGAGAGUUACAGACCAAUAUCACUCAUAAACAUAGACACAAAAGUCGUGAACAAAAUUUUAGUAAAUGAAACUCAACAACAUUUAAAGGGACAAUACAUCAUGACCUGUGGGGCUUAUCUUGGGAAUGCAAAGCUGCUUUUUUAAUAUCUGAGAAUCAAUCAAUGUAAUUGGCAGGAUUAAUAGAAUAAAGGGGGAAAAACAAUCCUUUCAGCAGAUGCAGGAAAAGCGCUAGUGAAUGGGUAAGCAAAUUGUGAUGAGCACAUGCAGUGGAAUACUAUUCAGCAAUAAAAAACAAUAAAAAAUUUUCCUACAUGGAUGAAUAUCAAAAACAAAGUGCUGUACGAAAGAAGUCAAAUACAAAAGACCACACUGAAUGAUUGCAUUCAUAUGAAAUUAUAGAAAAAGCAAAAUUGGGCAAAGUUAGUUUCAGAAUCAUCUUAGCAGGCAAAGCUCACAUCAUAGGAAAAUGUGUUGAAGCCUUACAUUACAAAUAUGGCCAAAUCCACUUUGGUAACACAGAGGCUGCAAAUAUGUAUUAAAAAUAUCAUGUAUUAAAUAUGUAUUAAAAAAGCAAUGAAGUUUAAUAUUUCACUUUUUCUUUAGUAAUUUUCAGAAUACAUUAAUUGAUCUAGUACUCUCCAGAGGUGGUUGAUUACUUUCUUUUUUGGAACAUCUUUAUGAACUCAUGGAUUUUUACAUAUUUGGUGUGCAUCAGUGUAUUGCUAUCAUUAUUAUUACCUUUUUAAUGCUCCUAUUACCACAUCUUUAGCCAAUGCAUACCCUUUCAAAUUAGUGCUUGUGUCCUUUUGACAUGAUCUUAAUCAUUUUUGAUAGAUUCCCUGUUCUUGGGCAUUCAGUGAAUGACAAUAGUAUACUGAAACGAAUUAAGAUAAAAACCAAUUGCUUAGAGCUAGAUAAAAAUUUACAAGUUAAUAAUUUUAUCAUUAAAAUAAUAUUUAUAAUGAAGAUGUCUUUCAAGAUAUUAAUUUGCCAAAUACUUGAUAGUUAAAUAAAGAAAAAGUCAGUGAAAACAUUUUUAGUAAGAUAUGUGUGAGAAGGAUACUGAGUAGCACUUGCAAUCUGGACUGGAUGGCUAUUUUUCUUCAUGGAGAUGGAAAGGUGCCACAACAAAGGUAGUGCUAAGGUGAAUAUUUCUCCUCUGUGAUGAAAAAUAACUCACAAAAUUGGCUUCUUUGUUAAUUUUUUUUCAAAACCAAACACUCAGAUCAUCAACAGCAAACAAAAUUGUGAAUGUUUUUACUGCACACAAUAAAAAUGCUACGAUGAAAUUGAAGCUUGCUUGUUGGAUGAAGAAAGCUGAUUGUGAGGACCUCGAGUUCUUGGAAUCUUUAGUUCAUUUACAAGUUAUGAAAAUAACAGCUUCGGUUGAAAAACAACAGCAUUGCUUAUCUUUCCUUUGAUGUAGAUUGCACCUGGCUGAGCACUACUCUAGGAAAUGAAGUGUUCUCCCUUGUACCUUUAGUAGCCUUCAAGAUCUGGGAAAGUCAGUGCAAACCUCUACUGGUGGCCCUGGAGGUAAGAAGAGUAGGCAAAGAGAAUGAUUUAGCAGGUAGCUAGAAUUCUAGGUUAAGAGAUAAAGACAUCUGGGCAGAAAUGAGGGUGUCACAUAGAAGACAGUGAGGAGGUCAAGCUGGUAAGAAGUACAGACUCAUUUGUUUAUCAAUAUAUUCCACUGAGCAUUUCUACUACUUUGGAAUAUCAGCCUCUAAGACAGUAAAAGUAGGAUGUAUAUACUAUCUUAGCUAAGGUAGACCUGGAUAAAUUAACAGAGUUACUGACUGAGACAGAAAGAAAAAAAAUAGUGAACAAACUUGUUUUCCAAUUCCAGCUCCUCUCCUCUUUUGUCCUACUCAAAACUGUUGGAACUGUACACCUACUUCACAUUUUUCAAUCAGCAGGGCAAAACCAUUUAUAGUGUCAUGACUAUCAUUAAGGAAAAGAAAGAGACAGAGACAUUGACAGACACACACACGCAAACACACACACAGAGAGAGAGAGAGAGAGAGGGAGAAGGGAGAAGGGAAGGCUAAGAAAAGCAAAGAAAGGGCCAAGCAUAGAAAAUAGCAGAGUAUAUAUGGUAAAGGUAAGUAAUGUUUCAUAAGAUAAUUGUUUCUAUUUUCCAUAUGUGCUCAUAUAAACACAUACACAACACAGAUAUGUAUGUGUGUAUGUUGGAUUGUGACAUGAAAUAUAUUUUUAGUAUGGUCUUGGUCAAAAAAAUUGAAUGCCACUGCUAAUGAAUGUUGUGGAUCUUUGACAUUCCGAAAAAAAAAUGCUUAAUAUUAAAAUUUUUUUUUUAGAGGUAAGAUCUCAUUCUGUUGCCCAGGCUGGCAUGCAGUGGCACAAUCAUAGCUCACUGCACGUCAGACUGCUGGGCUGAAGAGAUCCUCCUGCCUCAGCCUCCUGAGUAGUUAUAUAGGUGCAAGCCACCACACCAGGCUUGAGAGGAAGUUUUCAAGGGAAAGAAUGACUUGCAGAUCACCUCCUUCUUGAACUGUCCCUCUUUUCCUCUUUCAGGCAGACACAGGCAGGGUCCCUUAGGCUUUUGCUGUAAGUAAUGACAAAUUACUGGAGAAGUCAGAUCCAGAAUGUACAUAUUGUUGCUUUUGAUAGUUGCAACUGUACACCUACUUUGCAUUUUUCAGACAGCAGGGCAAAACAAAUGAUAGUCAUGACUAUCAUUAAGGCAAAGAAAGAGACAGAGACAUUGGCAGACAGACACACACACACACACACACACACACAGAGAGAGAGAGAGAGAGAGACAGACAGAGGGAGAAAGGAAGAAAGGGGAAAAGUGAAAAUGAUACUGUGUUGCUUCUGAUAGUUUGUAAUUCCAGAUUAAGUUACUAAUCUUCCAUAAAUAGGUCAAAAAAUACACAGUGAAGAAUUCAGGUGUGUAACAAAACAACAUCAAAAACAACAAAUAAGAGGUGGCAAAAGAAUAUUUUGUUUGUAUUUUCCAGUCAAGUCUCUACUUUGAUUGGGUGCUAACUUUUGAAGAGACCAAGGUUAGUUUUUACAAAGCAACAAUAAGAGUCCAAGAACUAACGGUCCCAAAUCAAAUGAGCUGCCUGAUAUUAGUGCAGAUCCCUAGGCCCCAGUCCCAAGGUAUUGAAUGGCUAGGCUUGGAAAUCUGCAUUUUCAAACAAGCUUUUCAUGUGUUGCUUACACUAUAAUUCGGGGACUAGAGUAUUUAAUAGACUAGGCCCUUGCUCUCAACAAAUAUUUGCUGAAUGCCGGUACUUGGAUUCUGAUGACAGGUAUCUAUAAAAGCCUGUGGAGUUCUCAACAUACUUCCAGAGCAGGAGCGUAAUUCUGUGGGUGAAACUCGCCCCACAGUCCUCACCUCAUGCUUUUGCUCCAUCUCAGUUUUGCUGGGCACAACCUGUUUAUUUCACUUUCUUUCUCUUCUGUAGUUGCAAGGAACCUGAAGAGUGAUUAAAAACUGCACACAUCCAGAUACCUAGAAAAGUGUCUUCUUCUUCCCAGGCAGCCCCUCUAGGCAGCUCCUUGGGCCCCUGGGAGAUGAAAAUCCCUGAUCCCAAAUCCUCAAAGGGAACUUACCUUGGCCAAAGCCCAUAAGCCACACCCUUUCAAGGCUAAAUGUCAAUGAUUGCAUAAGCAUACUUCACAACUGCAUUAACAGCAAGAGGAACCAGGGCAUUCUGUGACCUUCCAAGGAACCCACUCUUUGUUUUCCCAACCUUCAAUCAAAUUUAAUAUUUGUGCAGAUUCUUUACCCCAGGUAUGUUUUACACAGUUUUUCCACCCCUGGUACUUUUCAGGUUCAAUCUCUGUGAUAUUUACCUCUCCUUCUUGCUCCUGCUGCUUAAACUCACAGGAGUGUGAUUAAUUUGCUCUUUUUAGCACCCAAAUGACUAUUUGGGAAUGAAUUAGAUAUGCUCAGUAGCUAGAACCAGGGAUUGGGAUACAUUGGUUUAGCCAUUCCUUUUUGUCAGAUUGUUAGCAUGGCUGGUGCCAAGAGCCAUCCAGGCUCAAGGAGGUGAGAAAGUUAAGGGAAGGAAAUCCCCAAAGUUCAUGGUGAGGACACAGCAAAAUAAGGACUCCAUCCCAUCCCCUUAGGUAAAAAGCCACAAGCUGCAAGGUGCCAAAGACCAAUUAGUAGUUGUUGCAGAGCUCUCCGACUGAAUUGCACAUUCUUGUAAACUACUGUCAGUGCCAGUACACUCUCAAAUGGGACCACACCCUUUUCUUUAAGCUAGUGAUUUUGACUACCUAUUUUUGGUGUCUUCUGCAUUUCCUUCAAAUCUCAGAAUCCCUGGGAGCUUGUAAGGAACAUUUAGUAACCCCAUCCCCGUCGCUACCCUCAAUGGUCCUGCCUUUCGGAGAUAUCAUACCAUUUUCCUUUUCUCAAUGAAAGCAAGAAAAUGCUGGUUUGGGGAAAUGAGAGUCGAAUGAAUCAUUCUGAAAAAUACCAUAAAGCAACUGGAGAUGAUUUUCAGGUUAGCUUGGUUAAUAACUCUUGUAAUUCUCAAGCACUAAGAAAGAGUUAGCCGAUAAAAUGAGUUUGGCCAGGUCAGAAUGAAUUCUAGCCACCAGGUCAGAAUGAAUUCUAGCCACAAGGCAAUAAAGUUUUGCCCAGCAGUGGAAAACUAGCCUGCAAAUGUGCCAUAAUCUUCAAGGCUGCUUAUCUGCAUAAGGCUUUUGUUGUUUUUAAAACACAGAAUUGUGCUACUCCCACAAAAAAACUCUCAUCCUUUUCUACCUUCUCAUUCCCACUCCCACUUCUGCUGUCUGUAAUCUUAAGCAAAUGGGUUGUUUUUUUCUUUUUUUUUCUCCUAAAUAAUCCAAUUUACCUCUUAACAUGUCAAAAAAAUUGUUUUAACCAUUUUAAAAAUAAAUGUUUAUCAAAAAGUUUGGAAUUUGCAGUCAUAGGCAUGAAUUCAAAUCUCAAGCUAUUGAGCUACCAUCACAUUACUUAACCUCUUUGAACCCUGGUUUCCUUAUUAUAAAAUGAGAAAAAGAAUGUCUAUUCAAGGCAGAUACCACUAGUUACCUGCCCAAUAUUCACACUAGCUUUCUUCCUACUAACAGAAUUCUGAUUUUGGCAAUAGGCCUGGUCAAAACAAAACAAAACAUAACAAAGCAAUCUUUAGUUCCUCCAGCUCCCUGGCAGAUAGAGGUUGCUAUGUGACACCUCUGGGGCUAAUGAAAUACAUGAACACACAGUCAUAAGGUGAUUGUGUAAGCAACACCAAAUAACAGGACAAACCUAGCCGGGUAGCUAGCUGCCUUGUGCCUUUGUUCUUCCUCUCCUUCCAUCCUGGAAGUUGCUAACAAUGUCUGGAAGUAGAACAGCCAUCUAUGUCCAAAGAGAGAAGGGCCACAGUUCAUGAUGAAAGAGCAGAAAGGCAGGACUUGAGGUCUCUGCAGUGGCCCCAGAUUGUCCAGCUGUAGUCUACUGUUAAUGUUUGGAAAAUAAACACCAUGUUUGAUCAAGGCACUUUAGGUGGAUGUCUGUGAUGUGCAGCUGAAUACUAUCCCUAACUGAUACACUGUUUCAUGGAACUGGUGUGAAAAUUGAAGAUGUUAAACCACCAAACUAUGGGAAUGUGCAUAUCCCUGAAGGAUGAUGCUUAACAUAUUUCAUUUGAAGCAUGUAUAUUAUACUCCCCCUAAAAUGAUAAAAGAGAACACAGAAAAUUUUUAACUUUUCCUGAAUCCCUAAGGGCCUGAUUAUGAACACUUAGCAUAAACCUCUUAAAAUUACUUUAAAGUAGGCAGGGAUAAACAUGAUUAAAAGAAGUAUUUUAUUGUUGCUAUAGAACGGGGUGCUCCAUAAUAUGGCCUAUUGCUGUGUUUUACCGAUGCAAAUGCUGGAUUGUUGCUCAACUCCAUCUCAGUUUUAGUGUGACUCCCUACACUCUAGAUGCUGGAGUCCACACUACAGCUGGGGUUCUGAUGUAAUUUGCAUUUGCCUAAUUAGAAGCAUGAGGUAUAGACAGUGGAGGUUAGGAAGAGGCCACACUUUUGCUACAUCUGCUGUGUCUGCUGCUUUUUUUCCUAAAACAACAUCAGCAAAGAUCCCAGGCACCAGCAUUGUGGAUUCAGAGAGGCAUGUCUCCCUGCAUUCACUCUGUAGGCAUAGACUGUAGCGGUGAGGUGUGGUCUGAAACUGGCAGAGACAGGGGCUUUAUGAUUGAGAAAGUGUUUUUAUUCUUAUAGAGUCCCGAUACUAGUGGAUUCCUGCUUGCAAAAGAGACACAGCUCCUUUGACGACCUUGUUCUGAGUGUGACUUUGGGAGACUUUUCUGAGAGUUCAACCUGCAGUCUAUCUCUUUAGUCUUCUGAGCUAUCCCAUAGUCUAUUGAAUCUUUGAAACCUUUUCUCCUUAAAUUAGGUAGAGUGGGUUCUGUUCUCUACAACUGAAUCCAGAACUAUGGAGCUUCCUUUAGUGUUGCUUACCAAAUAUUUCCAGCUUUCAGAGACAUACUUGGCUGGGCUCAAUGGCUCAUGCUUGUAAUCCCAGCACUUUGGGAGGCCAAGGCAGGUGGAUUGCUUGAUCCCAGGAAUUCGAGACCAACCUGGGCAACAUGGUGAAACCCUAUCUCUACCAAAAAUAAAAAACGCACAAAUAUUAACCUGGCAUGGUGGCAUGUGCCUAUAGUCCCAGCUACUCAGGAGGCUGAGGUGGGAGAAUUGCUUGAGCCAGAGAGGUUGUGGAGGUUGCAGUGAGAUGAGAUUGUGCCAUUGCACUCCAACUUGGGUGACAGAGCCUGACCCUGUCUCAAAAAACGAAACAAAACGAAACAAAACAAAGCAAAACAAAAAACAAAGAACAACAACAACAAAAACAAAAAAGAGACACACUCUCACUGGAGCUGAUUAUGGAAACAGAUAUUGAUAUGGAGAUUGCCCAUGUGUUUCUUUCAGUGAUCACAGUGAACAGAACAGAACCCUUUGAAGAUCCCCCCCUCCAAUGGACAUAGAGCUGUCAAAGCUAAAAAUGAACCUUUUAUUUAAGCUGCUGAGAUUUGAGGGAAAUUUGUUUCCACAGGAUUAUCUAUCUUAUCCUGAAAUGAUAUAGAACUUAGAUCCUAAGAGAAAGGUGCUGCUUUAAUAAUAAAACAAACCCUAAAAUAAGUGGCAUUGGCUUAAGAGCUGGUCAGAAGGAAUCAAGCAAACUAUUACUGAAGCCUGGAAGAAUGGAAAUUAUUUUUCUAGUGGGGAAAAGUUUGGUAAGACUAUUCCCUACAGUAAUUUGGAGGCAAAAGGCAUAUCUAACUUUGGGGAAGAGGUUGAAAACAGAUUAUCAUUACUGUUUAUUGCCUAUUAUUAAUUGUAUUUAAUAAGACAUUGUAAGAAAAAGAUAUAUUCAGAGAAGACUUGGUCAGUUUGUAAGGGUAGAUGAAAGAGAUUUAGAGAGUCUACAAAGUCAAGAACUUAUAAGGUUGGAAAAGGCAACUGCUUCUCAGUCUAAAAAAUGAAAGGUAAAAUCGAUCCUUUGAGCAACAAAAGCACAUUAAAACUCAGCUUUGUGGCAAGGAUCAGAUCACUGGUCAUGAAUUAGGGUAUGGUGCCCAGUAAUUCCUUCAGUUAGACCAAAUGGCCCAGAAUGACUUAAAUUGGCUCAUGGGAAAAGGCGUAGCUGUCACUGCUAGGCUCAAGGAACCUAUAAUUAGGGGAGAGGGGACAGAGGGAGAAAAGGGAGAGGCAGGGAAAACAGAACUGCUGGGGCAAGAAAACACAGAAAUAUGGCAAAGAAGUAAAUCUAGAAAGAAACAUGGGAGUAAGUCAGAAGACAACCAAGGUUAAUUUUGUAAGAGUUUUACUGCUAAACAAAGGCUCUAACCUGGAUUAAAUGUGAUUGUUGCAAUUUGAGACUUAACAUGGCUCUUGGACUCUGCACCAUUUAUAGGCAGGAAGCAGGGUGCCUAUUCAGAGAAGGCUGAAAGAGGACUUUCCCAAAGGGAGAAUCCGAGAAUCACGGAGAUCAGUGGACAGGGGAGCUCCUUUCAGGAAAUCCAGCCUAUUCAAGGAACAUUUCCAAUCCUCUGGGUAGGAGGUUUAAAACAUCUGCCUAGUCUAAUAUUGAAAGGCCAAUGACUGCUAAUGACAGGCCAAUGACUGCCAUAUGUUUCCCAUUCUUCUGCUUUUUAAUGUGAGUAUUUGUUGAAGGUAUCUUGACUCUGUUCUACUACUGGAUAAUGUGUGAGUGGGAGGUGGGAGGGCCAGGUCUCUGGAUCAAAAGGAGAUAUACACAGACCUAUUUUACAGGCUCCUUCACAUUAUCCCCUGACAUAAAGACUACCAUGCGUCAUCCAGGGAUCCUGGGUUUUGAAAUUGAUGCCAUCACUGAGACUUUUGAGUUUUCUUCCCUCAGAGGAAAGUGAAUGAAUGCAUUUUGUACAUGGGAAGAAAGAUGAAGGAAAUACUUCAUGCCCUGAAGUGAAGACUGCAAUUAUCAUUAGUACUAUUCACCAAAUAUUUCUGCUUUACUGCCUCAUGACAGGAUUGCACUUCCCCUCCCCAUCUUUUAAAGGUAGGCAUAACUAUGUAACUUGCUUUGGCUAAUUAAAUGUGAACAGAAGUGAUGUGUGUCUUUUCUGAGUAUCAUUUUUUUUUAUUGCAGCAAAAAAACACAUAACAUAAAAUUGACCAUCUUAGCCAUUUUUAGUAUAUAGUUCAGUAGUGUUAAGUAAAUUCCCAUUGUUGUGAAGCCAAUCUCCAAAACCUUUUCAUCUUGCAAAACUUAAAACUCUAUACCCAUCAAACAACUUCCCUUUUCCACCUCCUCCAGCCGUUGGUAACCACCAUUCUACUUUCUGUGUCUAUGCAUUUUACUACUCUAUGUCUCUCACAUAAGUUAAAUCAUACAGUAUUUGUCUUUUUAUUGACUCGCUUCUUUCACUUAGCAUAAUGUCCUUAAAGUCCAUUCAUGUGGUAGUAUGUGACAGAAUUUCCUCUGUUUUUUGAGGCUGGGUAAUAUUCCAUUGUAUGAAUAUACCAUAUUUUAUUUAUCUGUUCAUCCAUCAGUGGACAUUUGGAUUGCUUCUACCUCUUGGCCAUUGUGAAUAGUGUUGCUAUGGUGAGCACCAUCAUUGAGAACCAGUGCAUGAUUCACCAUACUGCCCCCUUUUUUUGCUGCCAUGAGCAAGGAAGCACAUGCAAAGAUGUGCUUCUCUCCACCUGGGCGUUUGAAUUAUUAAAAUGAGCAGAGCUCCCAACUGACCCAAGAUGGACAUGUAGAGUGAACGAGAAAUAAGCCUUCGCUGUUUUGAAGCCACAGAGAUUUGGGGAUCCUUUUUCUUUUCCUAGUGAAAACUGAUAAGGUUUAAAAUUAAAACUUGACUCUUCCAAAGUUUGCAGAGAACUUUGAUGAGAGACUCCCAUAAUGGAGAAGGCUGAUGUAUUUGAGCCCUAUAGUUCUCUUGUGUCCUGCAGUUACACCUUCUUCUUGAAUCUGUGGGGGUGGGAGGGUAGGGAGGAUGGCCAUACCCAUAGCUUCUCCUUCUUUAACUGGCCAAAGUCUGGAGAAAUCUCAAAUCCUGUUUUCUCAUUCCUCAUCCAUUUAUCUCAUUUUCUGUACACUGGAUUGGCAACUUUAUUACACGCUGUAUUUGAUAGGAUUAGCUUUGGCUGUAAGUAUGAAAACUCCCAAGUAACAGUGGGUAGGAAAAUAGAGUUAAUAUUUUCCCUCACAUUAAAAACACAGGGUUGAUACAGUGGUUCCACAACUAACUGAGACACACUUUUCUGUCUCAUUACUCUUUCACCUUCAUUACGCACCUUCUGUAUCUUGGCUGAAGAUGUCUUAUCCACCUUCAUUCCUCAUAUGUUCAUUUUGGCCAGCAGGAAGGAUAAAUGAUAAAUGCCCUCCCUCUUUAAGGCAACUUCCGGAAGCUGCACAUAUCACUUCCAUUUACAUCCCAUCAUAGAAUUUAGUCACAUCAAAGGAAGUGGAGAAACAUGGUCUUUAUUCUGGGCAAUGAUAUUCCCAGUUUUUAGUAAAUGACAUGGAUAUUUAUAGUGAUAUUCCCAGUUUUUAGUAAUACUUGUGACGAAGAAGAACAUUAGUAUUGAAGUGUAAUUAGCUGUGGUAGGUAGAAUAAUUUUCCCCCAAAACAUCCUAAUACUAGAAUGUUUCUGUAAAUAUAUUACCUUUCAUAGGAAAAAGGAUUUUGCAUAUGUGAUUAAGGCAAGGACCUUUAGACAGGCAGAUUAUCCAGGAUUAUCCCUGUAGGCCCAAUCUAAUCACAUACAUUCUUAAAAGCAGAUAAUUUUUUCCAAGCUAUGGUAAGAAGGGAGCUAAGAUGAGGGUCAGAGAUUCCAUGUGAAAAGGACUCAACUCACCACUGCUGGCUUUGAGGAGGAAGAAAGGGAACCAUUAGCCAAGGAAUGUAGUUGCCCUUUAGAAACUGGAAAAUGCAAGGAUAUAGAUUUUCUCCUAGGAUCUCCAGAAAGUAACUCAGCCCAGCUAACACCUAAUCUUAGCCCAGUGAGGUCCAUGUCAAACUUCUAGUCUAUAAAACUGAAAGAUAAUAAAUUUUUGUUGUUUAAGCCAGGAGUCCCCAAUCCUCGGGCCAUGGGUCCAUGGCCUGUUAUCUGUUCAUUCAUCUGUUAUCUGUUAGGAACUGGGCUGCACAGCAGGAGCUGAGUGGCAGGUGGGCAUUACUGCCUGAGCUCCACCUCCUGUCAGAUGAGUGAUGACAUUAGAUUCUCAUAGGAGCAUAAGCCCUAUUGUGAACUGCAUAUGUGAGGGAUCUAGGUUGCAUGCUCCUUAUGAGAAUCUAAUGCCUGAUGAUCUGAGGUGGAACAGUUUCAUCUUGAAACCAUCUCCCAUCCCACCCUUGAGUCCGUGAAAAGAUUGUCUUCCACAAAACCAAUCCCUGAUGCCUAAACAGUUGGGGACCACUGGUUUAAGUCACUAAGUUUAUGGCAAUUUGUUAUGACAGCAUUCGAAAAAUAAUACAUUAGCAGCUUCAGCCACAAUGCCCUCCACUUUGGCCACCCAAAUAUUCAUACUGUUUUUUUGACACAUAGAACAUACUCACCUUCUGUCCAAAGCAGAAACCCAUCCACAUCUUCCAGUUACAGUGUUCAGCUCAAAGUCUAACACACCUCCAGGAAAUAGUUAGUCCUUUCCAUCAGGUCUGGAUGUAGCUAAGUUAUGUGCUAACCAAAUACCUAAUAUACUGCAAUGAAGUAGAAAGAUUCAUUCUCUUUUCAGUAACUUUUUUUUAAGAUAGAGACAGGGUCUUGCUAUGUUGCCCAGGCUGUUCUUGAACUUCCAGGCUCAAGUGAUCCUUCUGCUUGGGUCUCCCAAAAUGUUGGAAUUAGAGGCAUGAGCCACUGUGCCCAGCCAAAAACUCAUUCUCUAGCACAAAGUUCCUUAAUUUGCUCAUUUAGCAGCCUUGAUGACAGGGUUUCCUCUUUGGGAUGAUUAGCUAUGGAAAACCAUUACUUAUCAGAAUAUGCAACUUCAGAAAGAUACAUACUCUGCCUAGCUUCAGGCCUCUACAAACUGUGACCCACAAAGGGUGGCUAUACAUGGACAUUAGAAACUAGAGCUUCUCCCUAGAUCUUUGAUCUCAUCUAGCAUUCUGGCUAACAUCUCUUUCUGGACCAAAGAGAAAAGUAUUGAAUGAGGUUUCACAUCUGCUUUUGACCCUAAAAGGAAACUAAAAGAAAUUUUAGUUCAAAGGCAUGGAUCAACUGACUUUACAUAAGAAGAGUUUAAAGAGCUUAAGCCCCACAAUUUGAGAAUCAGCAUCAUCCCUAGUGUUUGGGCCCAUUUGUAAGAAAUCAAUUUGCUGCUUUUCCCUAUAUAGAGACCCCCUUCAGAAUAAAGUGCCUAGUGUGUCAGUGUCUUUAGCCUGGAGAAUUAAUCUUCACCUUGGAUACUGAUCUACCCCUUCUUCUUUCUCAAAUGUAUAGAAUCCCUGUAUCCUGUUAAUUUUUCUCCUCUAUCAAUAUGGCAAAAUUAAAAUAAGUAGCAUUCUGCUCCAGUUAGAAUGUAGAAAGUUAUGACAGUCACUCUCACUUUUAACUGGAAAAAAAUUGGACAAACUAAGAAAAUAAUUUUUAA
rnacentral:lncRNA from 1 species